AGUUCAUUUCGAGUGUCCAACCCAUCUACUGGAUAAGCUUCAGAAGAUUUUGCAUCAUGAAGUACAAUGGAGUAGCACUAUCGUGCUAGGAUUUGAUCUCUACGAAUUUCGCAAACUCUGAACUCGAUUGGAAACUUCAUCUUCAAACAAUAAGUGGACACUACUGCUUGAAGGGCAUUGAGUCCUGGACAUCCGAGGAUGGCAUUAUAGGUCGAUGGAGUCCGAACUACAAAAAAAUCAACUUGGACUUUGG
rnacentral:lncRNA from 1 species